rnacentral:lncRNA from 1 species
AUUACUUUGCUCACCUUUUGUUGGACAAGAACAUGGAUUUUGACCCAACAGUUUCUUUAAUCCCUGUUAUAUGCAAUUUCCCAAAUGUAUUUUCAGAAAAACUACUAGGCCUACCUCCCAAACGGGAGAUAGAGUUUCUAAUUAACCUGAUUCUAGGCACUUAGCCAAUUUCAAAACCUUUUAUUGCAUGAGUCGUACAGAACUUGUAGAGUUGGAGCACUAGCUUUCUAAACUAAAUGGACUAAGAUUUAUCUAACCUAGUCAUGCCCCUUUGGGUGCGCCUGUCUUGUU